CUUACACAUGCAGUCGAACGGUGAAGCAGGAGCUUGCUCCUUGUGGAUCAGUGGCGAACGGGUGAGUAACACGUGAGCAACCUGCCCCUGACUCUGGGAUAAGCGCUGGAAACGGCGUCUAAUACUGGAUAUGUGACGUGACCGCAUGGUCUGCGUCUGGAAAGAAUUUCGGUUGGGGAUGGGCUCGCGGCCUAUCAGCUUGUUGGUGAGGUAAUGGCUCACCAAGGCGUCGACGGGUAGCCGGCCUGAGAGGGUGACCGGCCACACUGGGACUGAGACACGGCCCAGACUCCUACGGGAGGCAGCAGUGGGGAAUAUUGCACAAUGGGCGAAAGCCUGAUGCAGCAACGCCGCGUGAGGGAUGACGGCCUUCGGGUUGUAAACCUCUUUUAGCAGGGAAGAAGCGAAAGUGACGGUACCUGCAGAAAAAGCGCCGGCUAACUACGUGCCAGCAGCCGCGGUAAUACGUAGGGCGCAAGCGUUAUCCGGAAUUAUUGGGCGUAAAGAGCUCGUAGGCGGUUUGUCGCGUCUGCUGUGAAAUCCCGAGGCUCAACCUCGGGCCUGCAGUGGGUACGGGCAGACUAGAGUGCGGUAGGGGAGAUUGGAAUUCCUGGUGUAGCGGUGGAAUGCGCAGAUAUCAGGAGGAACACCGAUGGCGAAGGCAGAUCUCUGGGCCGUAACUGACGCUGAGGAGCGAAAGGGUGGGGAGCAAACAGGCUUAGAUACCCUGGUAGUCCACCCCGUAAACGUUGGGAACUAGUUGUGGGGUCCAUUCCACGGAUUCCGUGACGCAGCUAACGCAUUAAGUUCCCCGCCUGGGGAGUACGGCCGCAAGGCUAAAACUCAAAGGAAUUGACGGGGACCCGCACAAGCGGCGGAGCAUGCGGAUUAAUUCGAUGCAACGCGAAGAACCUUACCAAGGCUUGACAUAUACGAGAACGGGCCAGAAAUGGUCAACUCUUUGGA
rnacentral:rRNA from 1 species